AACGAACGCUGGCGGCGUGCCUAACACAUGCAAGUCGCACGAGAAAAUUCCGGCUUGCCGGGAUGAGUAAAGUGGCGCACGGGUGAGUAACACGUGGGUAACCUGCCCCUGAAUCUGGAAUAACUCGCCGAAAGGCGUGCUAAUACCGGAUAUUGUCCCAGGGACUGUGGUCCUUGUGAUGAAAGAUGACCUCUUCAUGAAAGUUGUCGUUCAGGGAGGGGCCCGCGUACCAUUAGCUAGUUGGUAGGGUAAUGGCCUACCAAGGCGAUGAUGGUUAGCUGGUCUGAGAGGAUGACCAGCCACACUGGCACUGAAACACGGGCCAGACUCCUACGGGAGGCUG
rnacentral:rRNA from 1 species